UACGGGGGGGGGCAAGCGUUGUUCGGAAUUACUGGGCGUAAAGGGCGCGUAGGCGGCCUUCUAAGUCGGACGUGAAAUCCCUCGGCUUAACCGAGGAACUGCGUCCGAUACUGAAAGGCUUGAAUCCGGGAGAGGGAUGUGGAAUUCCAGGUGUAGCGGUGAAAUGCGUAGAUAUCUGGAGGAACACCGGUGGCGAAGGCGGCAUCCUGGACCGGCAUUGACGCUGAGGCGCGAAAGCUAGGGGAGCAAACAGG
rnacentral:rRNA from 1 species